UAAAUUUUACUCCUUUGCUUUCAAUAUUUCCAUGUUCUAUCCACACUUGUCUUGCUUCUUUCUCCUUCAUUAAAUUUUUGUAACCAUCCAUUCUCUCUCAACAUUUCACGCUCUUUUCUCUCCACGUUUUUUUGCACACGUAAACAUAUCCAUUCCCGCGCAACACGUGCAUGUGACUAAACGUCGCCACCACGAAAUCUCCUCGUAUUUUCGUGGCAACAUUAUCUUCUAUUCACCUCAGAAAAGAAGGAUAGAGAUGUCCAUUAUACCUUCCGCACGUAUACAUAUAAUAAACGCAAGCAUUCAUCUAAGCGCCACCUAGCGCUAAAACACGAAAAGAAAAGAAGAAGAAGCGAAACUAAUUUUGACAUAGUCAACUUUUCUACCGUAGUUUCCUAUUCGAAGUUCAGUUAUAAUUUAACGUGAUACAGAGUGCUAAGAGGAUGGAUAAAGUCGAUGAAAGUGCGAAUCGGAGAGCAGUAUUUUAAACUGACCUGGAUUUUCUGUUUCUCCCGAUAGAAGGAAUAUCUCGUGUGAUGCUACUAACCUUCUCUCGACCAAUGAUCGAUAUUUAAAUGAAAUUCUACAAGUAGAUCGAAAAGAGGAGCAAUAUGCAGUUUACAAAUAAAGACGACAUAACCUAAAUCAGUCAGUACUGCAAUUGCGACAAUGCCGAUGGCUGUGAAUCGCGGAAGGAGGACGACAGACGACCAUGCCUGACGACAGGAAUAUAGAAGAAAAGAACGAAAAGGAAAGGAAACGUGAAAAGCUAUUACAUUAAGGUGAUUGCAUUUACCUAGAAUGCAUACCUCUUACUUCACUGCGCAGCACUCUGGUAUACUGGAUAUUAAACUUAAUUUAUUUUGCCAAUGUUUAAUAUCAAGGAGGAUCGUACAAUUCACACAAUUCGAUUUAUCUUCAUUUACUCGAAGUAUUUCCAUUUGUUAAAUCGAACAGAAAUAUUAUUCUCAACUAUAAUUAAUUAAAAAGUUCAAACUGAUGUUCAAAUUUUAAGAUAUUAUUUAAAUUUUUCAAUCGUUAUCAAUAAUAUAACUAAAUAAAUUUUCAACUUUUGAAAAAUUACAUAAAUAUUUUUUUAUAAAUAUAUAUAUAAUUUUCAUACAUUUCAGUUAUUCUCAUCAUAUAGUUUAUGUAAUGUGUAUAUUCCGUUUCCAUGGAUGGUCAAGUAUUCGAUCAACAGAAUUUAAAUAGAUGAGUAUAAUGUCUGAUGUUAUAGUAUGCAUCGGUUACUUUCGCAAUUAAUCAAAAGUUUCUCGUAAUAGUGAAUGAACCUGCUAAAUUAAGGAUAAAUUAGCGUAUAACGUGACCUCGUACCUGGUUAUCAAUCUCUUAUUAACCUCAUUGAAGUUCGAAAAACUAUAUAACAUCGUAUUAACUAUACUUAUCGUAACAUAUUAUCGAGAGAACAUUCCACAUUAUAUCGAAUUCCUGUAAUAUAUUGUAGAUUUUAUUGCUUCUUCAAACUGGGAGAUUAAUCUUGUUAAAUAUUUAUA